UACGUAGGGUGCAAGCGUUGUCCGGAAUUAUUGGGCGUAAAGAGCUCGUAGGCGGUUUGUCGCGUCUGCUGUGAAAACUCGGGGCUUAACUCCGGGCCUGCAGUGGGUACGGGCAGACUAGAGUGCGGUAGGGGAGACUGGAAUUCCUGGUGUAGCGGUGAAAUGCGCAGGUAUCAGGAGGAACACCGGUGGCGAAGGCGGGUCUCUGGGCAACUACUGACGCUGAGGAGCGAAAGCGUGGGGAGCGAACAGG
rnacentral:rRNA from 1 species